rnacentral:rRNA from 1 species
AACGAACGCUGGCGGCAUGCCUAACACAUGCAAGUCGAACGAUUGCCUUCGGGUGAUAGUGGCGCACGGGUGCGUAACGCGUGGGAAUCUGCCCUUAGGUUCGGAAUAACAGCUGGAAACGGCUGCUAAUACCGGAUGAUAUCGCGAGAUCAAAGAUUUAUCGCCUGAGGAUGAGCCCGCGUUGGAUUAGGUAGUUGGUGGGGUAAAGGCCUACCAAGCCGACGAUCCAUAGCUGGUCUGAGAGGAUGAUCAGCCACACUGGGACUGAGACACGGCCCAGACUCCUCCGGGAGGAGGAGGGGGGAAAUAUUGGACAAGGGGCGCAAGCCUGACCCAUCAAUGCCGGGGGAGUGUGGAGGGCCCUGGGGUUGAAAAGCUCUUUUCCCCGGGAAGAUAAUGACUGUACGGGGAAAAAAAGCCCCGGCUAACUCCGUG